rnacentral:rRNA from 1 species
ACGCCUCAGUUCGGAUUGCAGCCUGCAACUCGGCUGCAUGAAGCUGGAAUCGCUAGUAAUCGCGGAUCAGAAUGCCGCGGUGAAUACGUUCCCGGGUCUUGUACACACCGCCCGUCACACCAUGGGAGCCGGAAACGCCCGAAGCCAGCGGCCCAACCGCAAGGGGGGAGCUGUCGAAGGCGGGUCCGGUGACCGGGGUGAAGUCGUAACAAGGUAGC